UCGAACGAUGAACACUUCGGUGGGGAUUAGUGGCGAACGGGUGAGUAACACGUGGGCAAUCUGCCCUGCACUCUGGGACAAGCCCUGGAAACGGGGUCUAAUACCGGAUAUGACCAUCUUGGGCAUCCUUGAUGGUGUAAAGCUCCGGCGGUGCAGGAUGAGCCCGCGGCCUAUCAGCUUGUUGGUGAGGUAAUGGCUCACCAAGGCGACGACGGGUAGCCGGCCUGAGAGGGCGACCGGCCACACUGGGACUGAGACACGGCCCAGACUCCUACGGGAGGCAGCAGUGGGGAAUAUUGCACAAUGGGCGAAAGCCUGAUGCAGCGACGCCGCGUGAGGGAUGACGGCCUUCGGGUUGUAAACCUCUUUCAGCAGGGAAGAAGCGAAAGUGACGGUACCUGCAGAAGAAGCGCCGGCUAACUACGUGCCAGCAGCCGCGGUAAUACGUAGGGCGCGAGCGUUGUCCGGAAUUAUUGGGCGUAAAGAGCUCGUAGGCGGCUUGUCACGUCGGUUGUGAAAGCCCGGGGCUUAACCCCGGGUCUGCAGUCGAUACGGGCAGGCUAGAGUUCGGUAGGGGAGAUCGGAAUUCCUGGUGUAGCGGUGAAAUGCGCAGAUAUCAGGAGGAACACCGGUGGCGAAGGCGGAUCUCUGGGCCGAUACUGACGCUGAGGAGCGAAAGCGUGGGGAGCGAACAGGAUU
rnacentral:rRNA from 1 species